CAGCCGCCGCGGUAAUGCGUAGGGUGCAAGCGUUAAUCGGAAUUACUGGGCGUGAAGCGUGCGCAGGCGGUUUUGUAAGUCUGUCGUGAAAUCCCCGGGCUCAACCUGGGAAUGGCGAUGGAGACUGCAAGGCUAGAAUCUGGCAGAGGGGGGUAGAAUUCCACGUGUAGCAGUGAAAUGCGUAGAUAUGUGGAGGAACACCGAUGGCGAAGGCAGCCCCCUGGGCUAAGAUUGACGCUCAUGCACGAAAGCGUGGGGAGCAAACAGGAUUAGAGACCCGGGUAGUCCUGUCUCUUAUACA
rnacentral:rRNA from 1 species